rnacentral:rRNA from 1 species
GAGUUUGAUCCUGGCUCAGAUUGAACGCUGGCGGCGUGCCUAACACAUGCAAGUCGAGCGGUAACAGGUGUAGCAAUACAUGCUGACGAGCGGCGGACGGGUGAGUAACGCUUGGGAAUCUGCCUAUCAGUGGGGGACAACCCGGGGAAACUCGGGCUAAUACCGCAUACGAUCUACGGAUGAAAGCCGGGGACCGCAAGGCCUGGCGCUGAUAGAUGAGCCCAAGUCGGAUUAGCUAGUUGGUAGGGUAAUGGCCUACCAAGGCGACGAUCCGUAACUGGUCUGAGAGGACGACCAGUCACACCGGAACUGAGACACGGUCCGGACUCCUACGGGAGGCAGCAGUGGGGAAUAUUGGACAAUGGGCGAAAGCCUGAUCCAGCGACGCCGCGUGGGUGAAGAAGGCCUGCGGGUUGUAAAGCCCUUUCGGUUGGGAAGAAAAGCUGCGACCUAAUACGUCGCGGCCUUGACGUAACCAACUAAAGAAGCACCGGCUAACUCUGUG